CAACCCUUGACAUGGGAGUCGCGGAUCCAGAGAUGGUUCUUUCAGUUCGGCUGGACUCCACACAGGUGCUGCAUGGCUGUCGUCAGCUCGUGUCGUGAGAUGUUCGGUUAAGUCCGGCAACGAGCGCAACCCACACUCUUAGUUGCCAGCAUUCAGUUGGGCACUCUAGGAGAACUGCCGGUGAUAAGCCGGAGGAAGGUGUGGAUGACGUCAAGUCCUCAUGGCCCUUACGGGUUGGGCUACACACGUGCUACAAUGGUGGUGACAAUGGGUUAAUCCCAAAAAGCCAUCUCAGUUCGGAUUGGGGUCUGCAACUCGACCCCAUGAAGUCGGAAUCGCUAGUAAUCGCGUAACAGCAUGACGCGGU
rnacentral:rRNA from 1 species